UACGUAGGGUGCGAGCGUUGUCCGGAAUUAUUGGGCGUAAAGGGCUCGUAGGCGGUUUGUCGCGUCGGGAGUGAAAACAUCCAGCUUAACUGGGUGCUUGCUUCCGAUACGGGCAGACUAGAGGUAUGCAGGGGAGAACGGAAUUCCUGGUGUAGCGGUGAAAUGCGCAGAUAUCAGGAGGAACACCGGUGGCGAAGGCGGUUCUCUGGGCAUUACCUGACACUGAGGAGCGAAAGUGUGGGGAGCGAACAGG
rnacentral:rRNA from 1 species